rnacentral:rRNA from 1 species
CCUACGGGUGGCAGCAGUGAGGAAUAUUGGUCAAUGGGCUAAGGCCUGAACCAGCCAAGUCGCGUGAGGGAAGACGGUCCUAUGGAUUGUAAACCUCUUUUGUCGGGGAGCAACGAGGCCACGUGUGGCCGAAGUGAGAGUACCCGAAGAAAAAGCAUCGGCUAACUCCGUGCCAGCAGCCGCGGUAAUACGGAGGAUGCGAGCGUUAUCCGGAUUUAUUGGGUUUAAAGGGUGCGUAGGCGGAACAUUAAGUCAGCGGUAAAAUCGAGGGGCUCAACCCCUUUAAGCCGUUGAAACUGGUGAUCUUGAGUGGGCGAGAAGUAUGCGGAAUGCGUGGUGUAGCGGUGAAAUGCGUAGAUAUCAGGAGGAACACCGGUGGCGAAGGCGGCCUGCUGGCCUGCAACUGACGUUGAGGCCCGAAAGCGUGGGGAGCGAACAGGAUUAGAUACCCCAGUAGUC